rnacentral:rRNA from 1 species
GACGAACGCUGGCGGCGUGCCUAAUACAUGCAAGUAGGACGCAGUUGCGAACGGGUGAGUAACGCGUAGGUAACUACCUAUUAGAGGGGGAUAACUAUUGGAAACGAUCGCUAAUACCGCAUACUAGUAGAUGGACCUGAGUUGUAUUAGCUAGUAGGUAGGGUAAUGGCCUACCUAGGUAACGAUACAUAGCAGACGUGCGAGGGUGAGCUGCCACACUUGGACUGAGACACGGCCCCGACUGCUCAUGGAGGCAGGAGUAGGGAAUCUUCGGCAAUGGGGCGAACCCUGACCGAGCAACGCCGGGGGGUUUAAGGAGGUUUUCGGGUCGUAAAGCUCUGUUGUUAAGGAAGCGGUACUUAACCAGAAAGGGACGGCUAACUACGUGCCAGCAGCCGCGGUAAUAC